AGAGUGAACGCUGGCGGCAGGCCUAACGCAUGCAAGUCGAACGGCAGCACGAGAGAGCUUGCUCUCUUGGUGGCGAGUGGCGGACGGGUGAGGAAUACGUCGGAAUCUGCCUUUUUGUGGGGGAUAACGUAGGGAAACUUACGCUAAUACCGCAUACGACCUACGGGUGAAAGCGGAGGACCUUCGGGCUUCGCGCAGAAAGAUGAGCCGACGUCGAUUAGCUAGUUGGAGGGGUAAUGGCCCACCAAGGCGACGAUCCGUAGCUGGUCUGAGAGGAUGAUCAGCCACACUGGGACUGAGACACGGCCCAGACUCCACGGGAGGCAGCAGUGGGAAUAGUUGGACAAGUGGGCGCAAGCCUAGGACUACCAGCCCAGUCGCCGCGUGUGGUAGAAGAAGGUCCUUGGGUUGUAAAGCUACUUUUGGUAACGGAAGUAAAAGCAAGUUCGGUUAAAGUACCCGGUUGUACCAUUACGACCGGUUAACGUAAGUAA
rnacentral:rRNA from 1 species